rnacentral:rRNA from 1 species
GGCUCAGGAUGAACGCUAGCGGCAGGCUUAACACAUGCAAGUCGAGGGGUAUAGUUCUUCGGAACUAGAGACCGGCGCACGGGUGCGUAACGCGUAUGCAAUCUACCUUUUACAGAGGGAUAGCCCAGAGAAAUUUGGAUUAAUACCUCAUAGUAUAGCAGUUUCGCAUGAAACCACUAUUAAAGUCACAACGGUGAAAGAUGAGCAUGCGUCCCAUUAGCUAGUUGUAAGGUAACGGCUUACCAAGGCAACGAUGGGUAGGGGUCCUGAGAGGGAGAUCCCCCACACUGGUACUGAGACACGGACCAGACUCCUACGGGAGGCAGCAGUGAGGAAUAUUGGACAAUGGGCGCAAGCCUGAUCCAGCCAUGCCGCGUGCAGGAUGACGGUCCUAUGGAUUGUAAACUGCUUUAUACAGGAAGAAACACUACUUCGUGAAGUAGCUUGACGGUACUGUAAGAAUAAGGAUCGGCUAACUCCGUG